rnacentral:rRNA from 1 species
GACGUAGGGGGCGAGCGUUGUCCGGAUUUAUUGGGCGUAAAGCGUGCGUAGGCGGCUGCGCAAGUCGGUUGUGAAACCCCGGGGCUCAACCCCGGAACUGCAUCCGAUACUGCGUGGCUAGAGGUAGGUAGGGGAGAUCGGAAUUCCUGGUGUAGCGGUGAAAUUCGUAGAUAUCGGGAGGAACACCGGUGGCGAAGGCGGCGACCUGGGUCGAGACUGACGCUGAGGCGCGAAAGCGUGGGGAGCAAACAGG